AUGGGGCGCGUGAAGCUGGCCAUCAAGCGGAUCGAGAACAACACGAACCGGCACGUGACCUUCUCCAAGCGCCGGAACGGGCUCAUCAAGAAGGCCUACGAGCUCUCCGUCCUCUGCGACAUCGACAUCGCCCUCCUCAUGUUCUCCCCCUCCCGCCGCCUCUGCCCCUUCUCCGGCCGCCACGGGGUGGAGGAUGUGCUUCUCCGGUACCUCAACAUGUCCGACAACGACCGGGGAGAACCCAUCCAGAACCGGGAGGAGAUUCAGAAGGAGAUAUACGCGUGUCAGCAGCAGCUGCAGAUCUCCGAGGAGCGCCUCAGGCUGUUCGAGCCGGACCCCGCCGCGUUCGGUUCCAUGGGCGAGAUCGACAAUUGCGAGAAGUCCCUCAUGGACAUGCUCACCCGCGUCGUCGAGAGGAAGCUGCAGAACUACCUGCUCAGCAACCUGGCCCCGUUCGACCCGACGGCGCCCGGGAUGCAGGGCGGGAACGAGGCGCAGAUGUACGUGCACGCGAUGAAGACGGAGGAAGGCGGCGGCAUGGGCACGUUCGCCGGCGACGCCGCCGCGCUGUGGGGCUCCGACGACGGGCAAAACCCCGGCCACCAGAUCUUCGGCGGGACCGACCCGAUGAUCUACCUCAGGCACGGCGACGUCGGGGGCAGCAGCCAGACGGCGGAUCCGUGGCGGCAGGCGUACAGCUACACCGAGCUGCUCUCCACGCUCAUCCCCAACACGCCCUUCCCUCUCAUGCAGCACUGCCUGGGCCCUGACGACGGCCAGUACCUGCCGGCCAUGGUGCCGGCGGCGCAGGACCAGCUGGAGGCCUCCGCCAGCUGCUCCUACAACAUGCCCACAAGCGAUGAGAGCGGCACGCCCGUCAUGGCGUACGACGGCGGCGGUGGCGUGCCGCCGCCCAACGUCGGCUGA
rnacentral:rRNA from 1 species